rnacentral:sRNA from 1 species
UUUUUAUAUAUCAACU